UUGCUGUGUUUUUAUUAUGCUGGAAGCUGCCCAGAGUGGCUGGGGCAGCCCAGUCAGAUGGGUAGGGUAUAAUAAUAAUAAUAAUAAUAAUAAUAAUAAUAAUAAAAAUAAAAAUAAAAUAAAAAUAAAAAUAAAAAUAAAAAAUAAAAAUAAUUUAUUUAUACCCUGCCCAUCUGGCUGAGUUUCCCCAGCCACUCUGGGCAGCUCCCAAUCGAGUGUUAAAACAAUACAGCA